rnacentral:rRNA from 1 species
CAGGCUUAACACAUGCAAGUCGAGGGGCAUCAGGAAGAAAGCUUGCUUUCUUUGCUGGCGACCGGCGCACGGGUGAGUAACACGUAUCCAACCUGCCCUUUACUCGGGGAUAGCCUUUCGAAAGAAAGAUUAAUACCCGAUAGCAUAAUGAUUCCGCAUGGUUUCAUUAUUAAAGGAUUCCGGUAAAGGAUGGGGAUGCGUUCCAUUAGGUUGUUGGUGAGGUAACGGCCCACCAAGCCUUCGAUGGAUAGGGGUUCUGAGAGGAAGGUCCCCCACAUUGGAACUGAGACACGGUCCAAACUCCUACAGGAGGCAGCAGUGAGGAAUAUUGGUCAAUGGGCGCUAGCCUGAACCAGCCAAGUAGCGUGAAGGAUGAAGGCUCUAUGGGUCGUAAACUUCUUUUAUAUAAGAAUAAAGUGCAGUAUGUAUACUGUUUUGUAUGUAUUAUAUGAAUAAGGAUCGGCUAACUCCGUGCCAGCAGCCGCGGUAAUACGGAGGAUCCGAGCGUUAUCCGGAUUUAUUGGGUUUAAAGGGAGCGUAGGUGGACUGGUAAGUCAGUUGUGAAAGUUUGCGGCUCAACCGUAAAAUUGCAGUUGAUACUGUCAGUCUUGAGUACAGUAGAGGUGGGCGGAAUUCGUGGUGUAGCGGUGAAAUGCUUAGAUAUCACGAAGAACUCCGAUUGCGAAGGCAGCUCACUGGACUGCAACUGACACUGAUGCUCGAAAGUGUGGGUAUCAAACAGGAUUAGAUACCCUGGUAGUCCACACAGUAAACGAUGAAUACUCGCUGUUUGCGAUAUACAGUAAGCGGCCAAGCGAAAGCAUUAAGUAUUCCACCUGGGGAGUACGCCGGCAACGGUGAAACUCAAAGGAAUUGACGGGGGCCCGCACAAGCGGAGGAACAUGUGGUUUAAUUCGAUGAUACGCGAGGAACCUUACCCGGGCUUAAAUUGCAGUGGAAUGAUGUGGAAACAUGUCAGUGAGCAAUCACCGCUGUGAAGGUGUUGCAUGGUUGUCGUCAGCUCGUGCCGUGAGGUGUCGGCUUAAGUGCCAUAACGAGCGCAACCCUUAUCUUUAGUUACUAACAGGUUAUGCUGAGGACUCUAGAGAGACUGCCGUCGUAAGAUGUGAGGAAGGUGGGGAUGACGUCAAAUCAGCACGGCCCUUACGUCCGGGGCUACACACGUGUUACAAUGGGGGGUACAGAAGGCAGCUAGCGGGUGACCGUAUGCUAAUCCCAAAAUCCUCUCUCAGUUCGGAUCGAAGUCUGCAACCCGACUUCGUGAAGCUGGAUUCGCUAGUAAUCGCGCAUCAGCCACGGCGCGGUGAAUACGUUCCCGGGCCUUGUACACACCGCCCGUCAAGCCAUGGGAGCCGGGGGUACCUGAAGUACGUAACCGCAAGGAUCGUCCUAGGGUAAAACUGGUGACUGGGGCUAA